GCGCACCAGGCGCGAAUCUUCCACAAUGGACGAAAGUCUGAUGGAGCGACGCCGCGUGCGGGAUGAAGGCCUUAUGGGUUGUAAACCGCUGUCAGGGGGGAAGAACAUCGGAAUGAACAAUACUCAUUCCGACUGACGUUACCCCCAGAGGAAGCUCCGGGCCAACUCCGUGCCAGCAGCCGCGGUAAUACGGGGGGAGCAAGCGUUGUCCGGAAUUAUUGGGCGUAAAGGGCGUGUAGGCGGCGAGGUAAGUCGAAUGUGAAAUCUCACGGCUCAACCGUGAAACUGCGUUCGAACUACCUGCUUGAGUACGGGAGAGGUGUACGGAAUUCCUGGUGUAGCGGUGGAAUGCG
rnacentral:rRNA from 1 species